rnacentral:rRNA from 1 species
CAGCCGCGGUAAUACGUAGGGUGCGAGCGUUGUCCGGAAUUACUGGGCGUAAAGAGCUCGUAGGCGGUUUGUCACGUCGUCUGUGAAAUCCUAGGGCUUAACCCUGGACGUGCAGGCGAUACGGGCUGACUUGAGUACUACAGGGGAGACUGGAAUUUCUGGUGUAGCGGUGGAAUGCACAGAUAUCAGGAAGAACACCGAUGGCGAAGGCAGGUCUCUGGGUAGUAACUGACGCUGAGGAGCGAAAGCAUGGGUAGCGAACAGGAUUAGAUACCCUUGUAGUCC